rnacentral:sRNA from 1 species
UUUUUUCGCGCAAACAUGCCGGAUCCAGCAAAAUCCGCUCCUGCUCCCAAGAAGGGCUCCAAAAAGGCUGUUACGAAAGUGCAGAAGAAGGACGGCAAGAAGCGCAAGCGCAGCCGCAAGGAGAGCUACUCCGUUUACGUGUACAAGGUGCUGAAGCAGGUCCACCCCGACACCGGCAUCUCGUCCAAGGCCAUGGGCAUCAUGAACUCCUUCGUCAACGACAUCUUCGAGCGCAUCGCUGGAGAGGCGUCCCGCCUGGCACACUACAACAAGCGCUCCACCAUCACAUCCCGCGAGAUCCAGACGGCCGUGCGCCUGCUGCUGCCCGGUGAGCUGGCCAAGCACGCCGUGUCCGAGGGCACCAAGGCGGUCACUAAGUACACCAGCUCGAACAUUUUCUAGCUGAAGUUACUGUUCUUGUCAACUACUCAGCAUCCAAAAUUUUCACAAGAAAAGGCUUUUUCUCUUCAAAUUACAGUCCAAAGAGUGGCAAACAAGAAAGAUGACAGAGUCCGAAGACCUUAAGAUUUCUUUUCUUUGGUCAAGAACUUGUUACACAAUGGAUGAUACAUCUUAGGUGGUCCUACUAAAAAGAGACACAAGAAUCUAGAGAGUAUCUCACUGUCAGCCAAUCCAAGGAACUUUGCUUUAGAUGGCCAAAGCCAGAAACAGCAAAGUAGAAGAACUACUAGAGCUUUAAGCAGUUCCUUAGUAUUUUUCCUUGGCUUAUCCAAGCCUGGAUACUGGUC